rnacentral:pre_miRNA from 15 species
AAGCAGCAGCUCUUCUUCCUCGCGGCCCUGUCUCCCAACCCUUGUACCAGUGCUGCCCCUCAGACACUGGUACAGGUGUGGGGGCCAGGGCCCGGGGACCCUGCAUCAACCAGGACC